GGGUUGUGAGGUUAAGCGACUAAGCGUACACGGUGGAUGCCCUGGCAGUCAGAGGCGAUGAAGGACGUGCUAAUCUGCGAAAAGCGUCGGUAAGGUGAUAUGAACCGUUAUAACCGGCGAUGUCCGAAUGGGGAAACCCAGUGCAAUUCGUUGCACUAUCGUUAACUGAAUACAUAGGUUAACGAGGCGAACCGGGGGAACUGAAACAUCUAAGUACCCCGAGGAAAAGAAAUCAACCGAGAUUCCCCCAGUAGCGGCGAGCGAACGGGGAGCAGCCCAGAGUCUGAAUCAGCUUGUGUGUUAGUGGAACGGUCUGGAAAGUCCGACGGUACAGGGUGAUAGUCCCGUACACCAAAAUGCACAGGUUGUGAACUCGAAGAGUAGGGCGGGACACGUGGUAUCCUGUCUGAAUAUGGGGGGACCAUCCUCCAAGGCUAAAUACUCCUGACUGACCGAUAGUGAACCAGUACCGUGAGGGAAAGGCGAAAAGAACCCCGGCGAGGGGAGUGAAAAAGAACCUGAAACCGUGUACGUACAAGCAGUGGGAGCACCUUCGGGUGUGACUGCGUACCUUUUGUAUAAUGGGUCAGCGACUUAUAUUCUGUAGCAAGGUUAACCGUAUAGGGGAGCCGCAGGGAAACCGAGUCUUAACUGGGCGUUAAGUUGCAGGGUAUAGACCCGAAACCCGGUGAUCUAGCCAUGGGCAGGUUGAAGGUUGGGUAACACUAACUGGAGGACCGAACCGACUAAUGUUGAAAAAUUAGCGGAUGACUUGUGGCUGGGGGUGAAAGGCCAAUCAAACCGGGAGAUAGCUGGUUCUCCCCGAAAGCUAUUUAGGUAGCGCCUCGUGAACUCAUCUUCGGGGGUAGAGCACUGUUUCGGCUAGGGGGUCAUCCCGACUUACCAACCCGAUGCAAACUACGAAUACCGAAGAAUGUUAUCACGGGAGACACACGGCGGGUGCUAACGUCCGUCGUGAAGAGGGAAACAACCCAGACCGCCAGCUAAGGUCCCAAAGUCAUGGUUAAGUGGGAAACGAUGUGGGAAGGCACAGACAGCCAGGAUGUUGGCUUAGAAGCAGCCAUCAUUUAAAGAAAGCGUAAUAGCUCACUGGUCGAGUCGGCCUGCGCGGAAGAUGUAACGGGGCUAAACCAUGCACCGAAGCUGCGGCAGCGACACUAUGUGUUGUUGGGUAGGGGAGCGUUCUGUAAGCCUGCGAAGGUGACCUGUGAGGGUUGCUGGAGGUAUCAGAAGUGCGAAUGCUGACAUAAGUAACGAUAAAGCGGGUGAAAAGCCCGCUCGCCGGAAGACCAAGGGUUCCUGUCCAACGUUAAUCGGGGCAGGGUGAGUCGACCCCUAAGGCGAGGCCGAAAGGCGUAGUCGAUGGGAAACAGGUUAAUAUUCCUGUACUUGGUGUUACUGCGAAGGGGGGACGGAGAAGGCUAUGUUAGCCGGGCGACGGUUGUCCCGGUUUAAGCAUGUAGGCUGGUUGUCCAGGCAAAUCCGGAUAAUCAAGGCUGAGGUGUGAUGACGAGGCACUACGGUGCUGAAGUAACAAAUGCCCUGCUUCCAGGAAAAGCCUCUAAGCAUCAGGUAACAUUGAAUCGUACCCCAAACCGACACAGGUGGUCAGGUAGAGAAUACCAAGGCGCUUGAGAGAACUCGGGUGAAGGAACUAGGCAAAAUGGUGCCGUAACUUCGGGAGAAGGCACGCUGGUGUGUAGGUGAAGCCCCUGCGGGUGGAGCUGAGACCAGUCGAAGAUACCAGCUGGCUGCAACUGUUUAUUAAAAACACAGCACUGUGCAAACACGAAAGUGGACGUAUACGGUGUGACGCCUGCCCGGUGCCGGAAGGUUAAUUGAUGGGGUUAUCCGUAAGGAGAAGCUCUUGAUCGAAGCCCCGGUAAACGGCGGCCGUAACUAUAACGGUCCUAAGGUAGCGAAAUUCCUUGUCGGGUAAGUUCCGACCUGCACGAAUGGCGUAAUGAUGGCCAGGCUGUCUCCACCCGAGACUCAGUGAAAUUGAACUCGCUGUGAAGAUGCAGUGUACCCGCGGCAAGACGGAAAGACCCCGUGAACCUUUACUAUAGCUUGACACUGAACAUUGAGCCUUGAUGUGUAGGAUAGGUGGGAGGCUUUGAAGCGUGGACGCCAGUCUGCGUGGAGCCAACCUUGAAAUACCACCCUUUAAUGUUUGAUGUUCUAACGUUGGCCCCUGACCGGGGUUGCGGACAGUGUCUGGUGGGUAGUUUGACUGGGGCGGUCUCCUCCCAAAGCGUAACGGAGGAGCACGAAGGUUAGCUAAUCCUGGUCGGACAUCAGGAGGUUAGUGCAAUGGCAUAAGCUAGCUUGACUGCGAGCGUGACGGCGCGAGCAGGUGCGAAAGCAGGUCAUAGUGAUCCGGUGGUUCUGAAUGGAAGGGCCAUCGCUCAACGGAUAAAAGGUACUCCGGGGAUAACAGGCUGAUACCGCCCAAGAGUUCAUAUCGACGGCGGUGUUUGGCACCUCGAUGUCGGCUCAUCACAUCCUGGGGCUGAAGUAGGUCCCAAGGGUAUGGCUGUUCGCCAUUUAAAGUGGUACGCGAGCUGGGUUUAGAACGUCGUGAGACAGUUCGGUCCCUAUCUGCCGUGGGCGCUGGAGAAUUGAGGGGGGCUGCUCCUAGUACGAGAGGACCGGAGUGGACGCAUCACUGGUGUUCGGGUUGUCAUGCCAAUGGCACUGCCCGGUAGCUAAAUGCGGAAGAGAUAAGUGCUGAAAGCAUCUAAGCACGAAACUUGCCCCGAGAUGAGUUCUCCCUGAGACUUUAAGUCUCCUGAAGGAACGUUAAAGACGAUGACGUUGAUAGGCCGGGUGUGUAAGCGCAGCGAUGCGUUGAGCUAACCGGUACUAAUGAACCGUGAGGCUUAACCUUACAACGCCGAAG
rnacentral:rRNA from 1 species